GAUGAACGCUGGCGGCGUGCUUAACACAUGCAAGUCGAACGGGAUCCAUCAAGCUUGCUUGGUGGUGAGAGUGGCGAACGGGUGAGUAAUGCGUGACCGACCUGCCCCAUACACCGGAAUAGCUCCUGGAAACGGGUGGUAAUGCCGGAUGCUCCAGUUGAUCGCAUGGUCUUCUGGGAAAGCUUUCGCGGUAUGGGAUGGGGUCGCGUCCUAUCAGCUUGACGGCGGGGUAACGGCCCACCGUGGCUUCGACGGGUAGCCGGCCUGAGAGGGCGACCGGCCACAUUGGGACUGAGAUACGGCCCAGACUCCUACGGGAGGCAGCAGUGGGGAAUAUUGCACAAUGGGCGCAAGCCUGAUGCAGCGACGCCGCGUGAGGGAUGGAGGCCUUCGGGUUGUAAACCUCUUUUAUCGGG
rnacentral:rRNA from 1 species